AACCAUACGCUUACAAGCGGUCGGAGCCCUUUCGUGGGGUGACGGCGUGCCUUUUGCAUAAUGAGCCUACGAGUUAACGUUGCUGGCAAGGUUAAGUGGUUAAGCCACGGAUCCGUAGCGAAAGCGAGUCUGAAUAGGGCGCUUUAGUCAGUAGUGUUAGACGCGAAACCGUGUGAUCUACCCAUGGGCAGGUUGAAGCUGUGGUAACACACAGUGGAGGACCGAACCGGUUGACGUUGAAAAGUCUUCGGAUGACCUGUGGGUAGGGGUGAAAGGCCAAUCAAACUCGGAAAUAGCUCGUACUCCCCGAAAUGCAUUUAGGUGCAGCGUUAUGCUUAAAGUUAUAUAGAGGUAGAGCUACUGAUUGGAUGCGGGGGCUUCACCGCCUACCAAUUCCUGACAAACUCCGAAUGCUAUAUAAUGUUUCAUAACAGUGAGGGCUUGGGUGCUAAGGUCCAAGUCCGAGAGGGAAAGAACCCAGACCAUCAGCUAAGGUCCCCAAAUAUACGCUAAGUUGAAAGAACGAGGUUUGUCUGCCCAGACAGCUAGGAUGUUGGCUUGGAAGCAGCCAUUCAUUUAAAGAGUGCGUAACAGCUCACUAGUCGAGCGGACGAGCAUGGAUAAUAAUCGGGCAUAAGCGUAUUACCGAAGCUAUGGAUUUACAGUCUGACUGUAAGUGGUAGGGGAGCAUUCUAACAGGGUUGAAGGUGUGUCGUAAGGCAUGCUGGACUGGUUAGAAAAGAAAAUGUAGGCAUAAGUAACGAUAAUGCGGGCGAGAAACCCGCACACCGAAAAACUAAGGUUUCCACAGCUAUGCUAAUCAGCUGUGGGUUAGUCUGGUCCUAAGGCGAACCCGAAAGGGACAGUCGAUGGCUAACGGGUUAAUAUUCCCGUACUACUAAUUACUGUGAUGGGGUGACGGAGUGAUGAAAGCGCCGCGAACUGACGGAAUAGUUCGUUGAAGUACCUACCUAUAAGCUGCGCAGGCAAAUCCACGCGGCUUGGGGAAAUACGAUAGUACUCGGAGUCUUCGGACAAAGAGAUAGUGCGCCUAAGGGCUUCCAAGAAAAACCUCUAAACUUCAGGUAAUUAGUACCAGUACCGUAAACCGACACAGGUAGUUGAGGAGAGAAUCCUAAGGUGCUCGAGAGAUUCAUGGCUAAGGAAUUAGGCAAAAUAGACCCGUAACUUCGGGAGAAGGGUCGCCCUGAGUAAUCAGGGCCGCAGUGAAGAGGUCCAGGCGACUGUUUAUCAAAAACACAGGGCUCUGCAAAAUCGUAAGAUGAAGUAUAGGGCCUGACACCUGCCCGGUGCUGGAAGGUUAAGAGGAGAUGUUAUCUUCGGAGAAGCAUUGAAUUGAAGCCCCAGUAAACGGCGGCCGUAACUAUAACGGUCCUAAGGUAGCGAAAUUCCUUGUCGGGUAAGUUCCGACCUGCACGAAUGGUGUAACGAUCUGGACACUGUCUCAGCCAUGAGCUCGGUGAAAUUGUAGUAACGGUGAAGAUGCCGUUUACCCGCAGUGGGACGAAAAGACCCUGUGCACCUUUACUAUAGCUUAGUAUUGACCUUGGAUAAAUGAUGUGUAGGAUAGGUUGGAGACUUUGAAGCGGCGUCGCCAGGCGUUGUGGAGUCAUUGUUGAAAUACAACCCU
rnacentral:rRNA from 1 species